UAUUUAAUUUCGCCUUGCGGCAGAUAAACAUUCGUUAUUUUAAAAUAAGAGUUUAAAGAUUUCGAAGGCAAGUUUUACCCUCCCUUCAAAGUUAAGUGCACAGGUGUAAAUUGGAUUAGGAGAGCGAGCACAUGCAGUCAGAGACUGCCAGCAUCAACUCUCUGUAAUUCAUUAAUGAUCCUUCCGCAGGUUCACCUACGGAAA
rnacentral:misc_RNA from 1 species